rnacentral:antisense_RNA from 1 species
CUUUUUUUUUUUUUUUUGAGACGGAGUCUCUCUCUGUCGCCCAGGGUAGAGUGCAGUGGUGCAAUCCUGGCUCACUGCAACCUCUGCCUCCCGGGUUCAAGCGAUUCUCCUGCCUCAGCUUCCCGAGUAGCUGGGACUACAGGCAUGUGCCACCACGCCCAGGAUCUUUCUGCUGAUGCAGCUGUUAAGAGUGUUUCAUAAACUGUGACACUGAGCAAAAUCAUAGAAGGAAACUCUAUGGACAAUUUCAGAUGGAGAAGAAGAAAGGAUUGGAAGUUCAAUUUGGCCAUGACAAUUAGAGGCCAGGUGCAGUGCAUGUAAUCCCAGCACUUUGGGAGACUGAGAUGGGAAGAUCGCUUGAGGCCAGGAGUGCAAGACCAGCCUGGGCAACAUAGCAAGAACUUGACUCUACUAAAAAAAAAAAGGAUCCUUCAACUUCAACAAUAACAACACGAGGGAAGUGAAGAAAAACACUUUCUAAGGAAAUCUCUCUCUGAGCUACCAUCCGGCUAGGGAGAGCCUGAAAGCAGAAUGCUGACUUGACUAGCUCUGGCCAAUAAAGGAAAUCACCAGUGGAAAGGCUACCAGGGGGCUUCCUCAAAAGAGAGGGACG